AUAUACAGAUUGCGACGUAGCGAGCUGCUUCCUCUUAUUGAUAAAGUUUUUGGAAAAAUGAAAGGAUGGAAGCCAAAGAUGUUGGCUGCGGAGGGGCGCCUUACUCUCACUCGUUCGGUUCUUAUGGCCGUGCCAAUUCAUAUGAUGACUGUGCUUCCUAUGCCGGCUUGGGCCAUCAAAAUCAUCAAUAGGCGUUGUCGGGGGUUCAUCUGGAAGGGGGAAGAAGAAAUCAAUGGAGGUCACUGUCUAUUACCUUGGUCAAGAGUCUGUUUGCCCUUGGAACUGGGAGGUCUCGGUGUAAUUAACCUCAAGUGGUUCGACAUGGCGCUUCGUUGCAAAUGGCCUUGGUUAAGGUGGGACACGAGUGAGAGACCAUGGCAGCUGCUACCGGACACUAAUGAAAAGGAGGUUCAGGCCAUGUUCAAUGCGGCGUGUCGUAUAAGCCUAGGCAAUGGAGAGACAGCUAAGUUCUGGAUGGAUAAUUGGCUCGUCAAUCUAUUGCUACCUUAG
rnacentral:rRNA from 1 species